GUAGGGAAUUUUGCGCAAUGGGCGAAAGCCUGACGCAGCAACACCGCGUGAGUGAUGAAGCAUCUUGGUGUGUAAAACUCUGUCAGAGGGGACGAAUUUUGACGGUACCCUCAAAGGAAGCAUCGGCUAACUACGUGCCAGCAGCCGCGGUAAGACGUAGGAUGCAAGCGUUGUCCGGAAUUAUUGGGCGUAAAGAGUUCGUAGGCGGCAUGUCAAGUCUGGUGUUAAAUCCAGGGGCUCAACCCCUGAUCGGCAUUGGAUACUGACAAGCUAGAGUACAGAAGAGGCAAAGGGAAUUCCUAGUGUAGCGGUGAAAUGCGUAGAUAUUAGGAGGAACACCGGUGGCGUAAGCGCUUUGCUGGGCUGUAACUGACGCUGAGGAACGAAAGCCAGGGGAGCAAAUGGGAUUAGAAACCCCGGUAGUCC
rnacentral:rRNA from 1 species